GGCUCAAUUGGUUAAAGCACCUGCCUUGUAAACAGGAGAUCCUGGGUUCAAAUCCCAGUAGAGCCU
rnacentral:tRNA from 1 species